ensembl:lncRNA
AUGGAGAGACAGAGAGAUGGAGAGACAGAGAGAGACAGAGAUAGAGAGACAGAGAGACAGAGAUGGAGAGACAGAGAGAGAGACAGAGAUGGAGAGACAGAGACAGGCAGAAAGACAAGAUGGAGAGACAGAGAGAGACAGACAGACAGAGAUGGAGAGACAGAGGCAGACAGAGAGACAGAGAUGGAGAGACAGAGACAGACAGACAGAGACAGAGAUGGAGAGACAGAGACAGACAGAGAUGGAGAUGCAGAGAGAGACAGACAGAGAGAGAGAGACACAAGACAUCAGUGGUCUGGGUCUGUGUCCGUGGUUGGAUCUUGGGCUGCAGGUGACCAUCGAGGACUGAGCUGUGAGGGAGACGGGGUCGGAGCUGGGCCAGCCGGGAGGGGCAGGGCACGCUGGAGUGGAAGGCGGCCGGUGGAUCCCCACAUAUGUGAGCUGUUCCAUUUUCUGUCACAGAGAAGGGCAGAGACGAUCUCACUCCCGUGGCUCGGACUUUGUCAGGGAACCAAGAAAUGCAGCAGGAGGAGUGUGGUCUCCUUCCUUAUCACGACUGACAUGGAAAAAUCACAAGGCAGGCAGCCUCCCUGUGGCAGAGGCCCGAGGCAGCAAGGUGCACAAACUCCAGCUGUGGGUGAAUGGAUCCCUGCCCCUGUCCACACCUGCUGCUCUGGGCCAGCGGCCUUUUCCACCAGAGGGGACGGGGUCUUGCUCCAAGGACGGCCCUCCCAGUGCAGUCCCCAGUCUGUUGGGCCAGAGGCCUCAAGGCAGUGCUGGUUAAAGAUGGCUGGUCCAGGGCCCGGCCUUGGUCAGAACAUCCAGGUGGGAAGACCCUACUGUAGACCGAAGAAGCCCCUACUCUCUCUACCCAGGUGUGCAGGGCUCACCGGGCAGGUGGGGACCCUCCAGAAACUCCCACUGAGGCCUCAGGAAAAGCCACAGCCUCCUCCCACCCCAGAUGCCUCCUCCCACCCCAGAUGGCAUGAAACUGGCACCCAGUCUUGGUGCCCCGUUCCUUGCCUCCAGUCACCCCUUCUGUCUGCCCCCUGCACACACAGCCCUGCACACAUAUACACUUGCGCACUCACACACCCCCGCACACACACCCCUGACCUCACACUUGUACACACACAUCUGCACUCACACCUGCACACACUCUUGCACACACCCUGCACUCACACAUCUGCAUUCACACUCCUGACCUCACACUUGCACACACACCUGCACACACAUGUGUACACUCACACACUUACACAUGCACACCCCUGCACUCACCCCCUCCACUCACACACACCUGCAUACACACCCCUGCACACACACCCCUGCACACACACCCCUGCACUCACACUCCUGGCUUCACACUUGCACAGACACAUCUGCACUCACACCUGCACACACAUAUACACACACACCAGCACUCACACACUUGCACACACCUUGAAUUCACACCCAUGCACUCACACUCCUGACCUCACACUUGCACACACAUCUGAACACACACAUGCACACUCAAACACAUGCACACCCUGCACUCACACACAUCUGCAUACACACAUCCCUCCACUCACACACCUGGAUACACACAACCCUGCACUCACACAUACCUGCACACGCACACCCCUGCACUCACACACACCUGCGCACACACACCCCUGCAUCUCACACACUUGCACACUCACUCCUGCACACAGAUCUCAGGCCAGCACCUGGCCACCAGGGAGGUUGGGAAGUAGAGGAAGGUGCCCAGAGGCAGAAAUCAUAGACCCAGGGCAGCAGCUGGGCCCUGGAAGGUCCACAGGGAGUGCUAGGACCCCCUAA